UAAAAUAUAAAAUUCCAGGUAUUUUUUGCAUAUAUCGGGGAAUCGUGAAGAUUUUAUCGGUGAGUAUUCGCACUCGGAAGGGCAAUGAUGAAUAUUGAAUAAUCGGACAUAGUACGCUAAGGUUGUAUGUCUAAAGGGAAACAGCCCAGAACAAGAGUUAAGGUUCCAAAAUUAUUGUUAAGUGAAAUUAAGGAAGUUAAUAUUUUAUACGACUAGGAAAUAGGCUUAGAAGCGGCCAUUUUUUGAAGACCUCGUAACAGAGCACUGGUUUAGUAAAUUAAUUUAAAUUUAUAUAUAUAUUCGCACCGAAAAUUUAACGGAUCUAAACAAUAUACCGACACCUUGUCCACACUUAUAAUAGUAAAUAUUAUUAUAAUUGGUGGGGUAGCAGAACGUUGGGUAAAUCUUAGACUUAUUCUUUUUAAGAUUAAUGAUUAGAUAACCCAAGUGAGAAUGCUGACAUGAGUAACGAAAAAGGGAAUCAUAUCCCUCGCCUAAAGCUUAUGGAUUUAUAUAAAGUAACGGCCUCUAAGUUUACUUACCUAAAGGAUUAAACGAUGAGUAAAUCUUGUUUACAAAGUAACAACCUUUAUAAAGUGAUAAAGUGUUCUGGAAAAACCGUAAACAUUUUCUCGCUUUGCGUGUUUAAAGCUCUGCUUUAACAAAUAAACCAAUAAACUAAAGAGAUGAGGAAUAUUAGAAAAUACAUAACCGUACCUAGAAUCUACCACA
rnacentral:rRNA from 1 species